UCCACGAUGAAGAGUUUAGAUGUUUCCUUUAGAGCAGGAAAGUGGUGGAAGAGUUUGUUUGUCCUCCACUGUUGAAGACUGUUCAGAGUUUCUGUCAUGACUCUCUGAUGGAGGAAACAUGGUCUGAGUGGA